ACGGCGAGUGAGCGGCACAGCUCAAAUUUGAAAUCUGGCUUUCGGGCCCGAGUUGUAAUUUGUAGAGGAUGCUUUUGGCGCGGUGCCUUCCGAGUUCCCUGGAACGGGACGCCACAGAGGGUGAGAGCCCCCUACGGUCGGACACCAAGCCUCUGUAAAGCUCCUUCGACGAGUCGAGUAGUUUGGGAAUGCUGCUCUAAAUGGGAGGUAUAUCUCUUCUAAAGCUAAAUAUAGGCCAGAGACCGAUAGCGCACAAGUAGAGUGAUCGAAAGAUGAAAAGCACUUUGAAAAGAGGGUUAAAAAGUACGUGAAAUUGUUGAAAGGGAAGGGCUUGUGACCAGACUUGUGCCGGGUUGAUCAUCCGCGGUUCUCCCGCGGUGCACUCUCCCCGGUCCAGGCCAGCGUCGGUUCUGGGAGGGGGACAAAAGCUUGGGGAACGUGGCUCCUCCGGGAGUGUUAUAGCCCCUCGCCCAAUGCCCCUGCCGGGACCGAGGUUCGCGCUCUGCAAGGACGCUG
rnacentral:rRNA from 1 species